UGAGGACUAGAAUGUUGACGGUGACUUACGUUCACUGCUGCUCCUUCAGUACCUCCUCUCACGUGCGGUGUUAACCGAAAUUCAACCGAGUAAGCAAGAAGAUCUGAUCAUACUGAUUAAGCCGUAAUUUUAUUUAUUUGAGAGAGAGAGAAUGAGAGACAGCACGAGAGGGAAGAGGGUCAGAGGGAGAAGCAGACCCCCUGCUGAGCAGGGAGCCCGAUGCGGGACUCGACCCCAGGACUCCAGGAUCAUGACCUGAGCCGAAGGCAGUCGCUUAACCAACUGAGCCACCCAGGCGCCCGUUCCCUCUGCUGCUUUCUGUGUUCCCCACAGUCUGUUCUUUUUAUGUAUGUAUGUAUGUAUGUAUGUAUGUAUGUAUGAGAGAGAAUGAGAUAGAGAGCAUGAGAGGAGGGAGGUUCAGAGAGAGAAGCAGACUCCCCGCCGAGCAGGGAGCCCGAUGCGGGACUUGAUCCCGGGACUCCAGGAUCAUGACCUGAGCCGAAGGCAGUCGCUUAACCAACUGAGCCACCCAGGCGCCCCCCACAGUCUAUUCUUAACAGAGCUGUUGCGGCCUAAGUUCUGUCAUGCUGCUGAAGGGUAGCAGAACACACCUCCUCAAAAUAUGCGCCUUUGAUAUAUUGAUUAUUUUGAGCUGUAGGCACUUGAAAAAAAGCAAAUGUGGAAAGACGCUUUCUCUGACUUUCCCUUAUCUGCCUAAAGACAGAUCCUCCAGAAUAAACUCAAUUGUUGUAAAUACCCUCCCCAGAAGUUUCAUCAGCUAGGGAAGAUUGGCUCAUAUCAUAGGAAAGAAGUUGACACCACACCCUGACAAACUUGUCACAAAAAAUCAUGAUGUAGAAAUGGGGUUUGGAGCCCACAGCCAAAAAAGAAAUCUUGAGAUGUCUUCAGUGGAAAACUGCGGUUUUAUUAAAGCAUGGGGACAGGACCCGUGGGCAGAAAGAGCUGCACUGGGGUAGCGAUGGGUGACUGAUUAUAUGCUAUCACGUUGGGAGGGGUUUGGGGACAGCACAAGCCUCCCAAGGUAUUUUGGAAGCAAGGUUUCCAGGAUCCUGAGGGGGGCUAGCUAUUGUUAGGAAAAGGUCAUUUAUUACUGUUUAGUAAGAACUCAGUCAUGAGACCCUUCAGAUGUGUAUCAGUGGGUCAUAUCCUUGGAGGAUGAUUGCUCAUCCAAAGGAAUUUUUUCCUUUGACACCACACCCUGACAAAGGAGUGUUUCCAAAGGAAUUUUUAUAUGUUAAAGUAGACUUAACAGGAUCCUGGGGCGUCGGGAUAAUGUUAAGCUAAGAUUGCCACUUUAGCGAAGUGUCAACAUCAAGGCAGCUGAAAUCCCAGAGGAAGAUCACUUUGCCUGUUUCAAGGACUUGUCACUGGGCUGUAGGCAGUAAGGAAAUUUAAUUCUUUCUUUAGACUUUGUUUCCCACAUCAGUCAUACCUCCCAUCUGUUCUCUUAAGGGCCCAUUCAUCUUUGCUAAAAAUCAUUUACUCUCCCCUAAAAGGCCUACAUCUCUUGUCCCCUUUCCCUGUUAAAUGAAAUCCUAAGUUACUCUUUUCAUUGCUCAUUUUUCUCUAGGUAUUUCCUGUGUACUCAUGAGGUAUACAUGUUAAUAAACUUCUGUUUGUUUUUCUCUU